rnacentral:rRNA from 1 species
CCUACGGGAGGCAGCAGUGGGAAAUAUUGGGCAAUGGGCGCAAGUCUGACCCAGCAACGCCACGUGAAGGAAGAAGGCUUUCGGGUUGUAAACUUCUUUUGACAGGGAAGAGUAGCAUACCGUACCUGUCGCAUAAGCCACGGCUAACUACGUGCCAGCAGCCGCGGUAAUACGUAGGUGGCAAGCUUUGUCCGGAUUUACCGGGGUUAAGGGGCGUGUAGCCGGGUUGACAAGUAAGAUGUGAAAUCCUACGGCUUAACCGCAGAACUGCAUUUGAAACUGUUGAUCUUGAGUACUGGAGAGGCAGACGGAAUUCCUAGUGUAGCGGUGAAAUGCGUAGAUAUUAGGAGGAACACCAGUGGCGAAGGCGGUCUGCUGGACAGCAACUGACGGUGAGGCACGAAGGCCAGGGGAGCGAAAGGGAUUAGAUACCCGUGUAGUC